rnacentral:tRNA from 1 species
CAUUACGAAGCUUAGAGCGUUAACCUUUUAAGUUAAAGUUAGAGAUAGUACGUCUCCGUAGUGA